rnacentral:rRNA from 1 species
CGCCUUGCCAGCCCGCUCAGAAACUCAAAGGAAUUGAGGGGGCCCGCACAAGCGGUGGAGCAUGUGGUUUAAUUCGAUGAUACGCGAGGAACCUUACCUGGGCUCAAAUGUAUGUUGACGUAUUCUGAAAGGGAUACUUCUUCGGACAAUAUACAAGGUGCUGCAUGGUUGUCGUCAGCUCGUGCCGUGAGGUGUCGGGUUAAGUCCCAUAACGAGCGCAACCCCUAUCAUUAGUUGCCAUCAGGUCAAGCUGGGGACUCUAAUGAAACUGCCUACGCAAGUAGUGAGGAAGGUGGGGAUGACGUCAAAUCAGCACGGCCCUUACGGCCUGGGCUACACACGUGCUACAAUGGUCGGUACAAAGGGUUGCCAAGCCGCGAGGUGGAGCUAAUCCCAUAAAACCGAUCGUAGUCCGGAUCGCAGUCUGCAACUCGACUGCGUGAAGUCGGAAUCGCUAGUAAUCGUGAAUCAGAAUGUCACGGUGAAUACGUUCCCGGGCCUU